rnacentral:tRNA from 1 species
GCGGUCGUAGCUCAGCUGGUAGAGCACAGGUUUGUGGCACCUGGUGUCGCGGGUUCAAUCCCCGUCGAUCGCC